GAUGAACGCUGGCGGCGUGCCUAAUACAUGCAAGUCGAGCGAACGGACGAGAAGCUUGCUUCUCUGAUGUUAGCGGCGGACGGGUGAGUAACACGUGGAUAACCUACCUAUAAGACUGGGAUAACUUCGGGAAACCGGAGCUAAUACCGGAUAAUAUUUUGAACCGCAUGGUUCAAAAGUGAAAGACGGUCUUGCUGUCACUUGUAGAUGGAUCCGCGCUGCAUUAGCUAGUUGGUAAGGUAACGGCUUACCAAGGCAACGAUGCAUAGCCGACCUGAGAGAGUGAUCGGCCACACUGGAACUGAGACACGGUCCAGACUCCUACGGGAGGCAGCAGUAGGGAAUCUUCCGCAAUGGGCGAAAGCCUGACGGAGCAACGCCGCGUGAGUGAUGAAGGUCUUCGGAUCGUAAAACUCUGUUAUUAGGGAAGAACAUAUGUGUAAGUAACUGUGCACAUCUUGACGGUACCUAAUCAGAAAGCCACAGCUAACUACGUG
rnacentral:rRNA from 1 species